UCACUCGGAUGCCGUCCUGCUUCGAGUCAUUAAACAACGAUUCUCCCCUCUUCAUUUUUUUAUCUCAUCGGAGUGCGCAUAUACGAGACAUACCGUUCCCCUUAUAUCAGAUACUCAAAACCGAAAAACACAAAACCCGCUGCUUUUUAAGUAACGGGUUUUGUGUUU
rnacentral:antisense_RNA from 1 species